rnacentral:rRNA from 1 species
GACGAACGCUGGCGGCGUGCUUAACACAUGCCAGUCGAACGGAAAGGCCCUGCUUUUGUGGGGUGCUCGAGUGGCGAACGGGUGAGUAACACGUGAGUAACCUGCCCUUGACUUUGGGAUAACUUCAGGAAACUGGGGCUAAUACCGGAUAGGAGCUCCUGCUGCAUGGUGGGGGUUGGAAAGUUUCGGCGGUUGGGGAUGGACUCGCGGUUUAUCAGCUUGUUGGUGGGGUAGUGGCUUACCAAGGCUUUGACGGGUAGCCGGCCUGAGAGGGUGACCGGCCACAUUGGGACUGAGAUACGGCCCAGACUCCUACGGGAGGCAGCAGUGGAGAAUAUUGCACACUAGGCGGAAGCCUGAUGCAGCGACGCCGCGUGCGGGAUGACGGCCUUCGGGUUGUAAACCGCUUUCGCCUGUGACGAAGCGUGAGUGACGGUAAUGGGUAAAGAAGCACCGGCUAACUACGUG